rfam:Picea glauca, whole genome shotgun sequence.
GUUCAAAUGAGGAAGGGCUUACGGUGGAUACCUAGGCACCCAGAGACGAGGAAGGGCGUGGUAAGCGACGAAAUGCUUCGGGGAGUUGAAAAUGAGCAUAGAUCCAGAGAUUCCCGAAUAGGUUAACCUUUUUAACUGUUGCUUAAUCCAUGGGUAGGCAAGAGACAACCUGGAGAACUGAAACAUCUUAGUAGCCAUAGGAAUAGAAGGCAAAAGAGAUUCUCGUAGUAGUGGCGAGAAAAAUGGGAGCAGCCUAAACCAUGAAAAUGGGGUUGUGGGAGAGCACAAUAUAAGCUCUGUGCUGCUAGGCAAAGCGGUUGAGUCCUGCACUCUAGAUGGUGAGAGUCCAGUAGCCAAAAGAAUCAUUGGGUUACGCUCUAACUCGAGUAGCAUGGGGCGCAUGGAAUCUUGUGUGAAUCAGUAAGGACCACCUUGCAAGGAUAAAUACUCUUGGGUGACCGAUAACGAAGUAGUACGAUGAGGGAAAGGUGAAAAUAACCCCCAUCGGGGAGUGAAAUAGAACAUGAAACUGUAAGCUCCCAAGAAGUGGGAGGAAAAUGAUAUCUCUGACUGCAUGCCUAUUGAAGAAUGAGCCGACAACUUAUAGGCAGUGGCUUGGUUAAGGGAACCCACCGGAGUCGUAGUGAGAGCGAGUCUUCAUGGGGCAAUUAUCACUGCUUAUGGACCCAAACCCGGGUGAUCUAUCCAUGAACAGGAUGAAUCUUGGGUGAAACUAAGUGGAGGUCUGAACCGACUGAUGUUGAAAAAUCAGCGGAUGAGUCGUGGUUAGGGUGAAAUGCCACUUGAACCCAGAGCUAGCUGGUUCUCCCUGAAAUGCAUUGAGGUGAAGUAGUUGUCUGGACCAUCUAGGGGUAAAGCACUGUUUUGGUAUGGGUCGUGAGAGCAGUACCAAAUCGAGGCAAACUCUAGAUACUAGAUUUCCCCAAUAAAAGGGGUAAAGGUAAGCCAUUGACGAUGGGGGAUAAGCUUCAUCGUCCAGAGGGAAACAACCCAUAUCAUCAGCUAAGGCCCCUAAAUGACCACUCAGUGAUGAAGGAAGUAUGAGUGCAAAGAUAGCCAAGAGCUUUGCCUAGAAGCAGCCAACCUUGAAAGAGUGUGUAAUAGCUCACUGAUUGAGCGCUCUUGCGCCAAAUAUGAAUGGGACUAAGCGAUCUGCUGAAAUUGUGGGAUGUAAAAAUACAUUGGUAGGGGAGCAUUCAUCCUUAGAGGGAAGCACCAGCGUGAGCAGGUGUGGAUGAAGCGGAAGUGAGAAUGUCGGCUUGAGUAAUGCAAACAUUGGUGAGAAUCCAAUGCCCCAAAAACCUAAGGGUUCCUCUGCAAGGUUCGUCCACGGAGGGUGAGUCAGGGCCUAAGAUCAGGCCGAAAGGUGUAGUUGAUGGACAACAAGUUAAUAUUCCUGUAAUACCCCUUGUUGGUCCCGAGGGAUGAAGGAGUCUAGGUUAGCCGAAAGAUGGUUAUCGGUUCAAGGACGCAAGGUGACCCUCUAUACAUUGAUUCAAAGGUAAAAUAAGAAUAAAAUAUAGGUGUGUACAAGGUGAUUUUGGGGGUGGAUAUUCCUCAUCAUCUACUCUAGCACACAAAAAUCCAAGAUGGCUUAUCCAAACAUUAUAGGAUGCACAAAAUCAUGUAGGAGCGCCCAUAUCAUCAAUGAGGGUGAGUUUACCUCCUAGGAGAUAUGUUAACCAUAUUGUAUUAGAUUCUUCCAUUUGUGAUAUUUACAAUUGUUUUGAGGAGGUGAUGUGUGAUACUUUGUUGGAUGAGUGUGAUG